rnacentral:rRNA from 1 species
CCUACGGGAGGCAGCAGUGGGGAAUAUUGGACAAUGGGGGGAACCCUGAUCCAGCCAUGCCGCGUGUGUGAAGAAGGCCUUUUGGAUGUAAAGCACUUUAAGCAGUGAAGAAGAAGUCAUGGUUAAUACCCAUGAUGGAUGACAUUAGCUGCAGAAUAAGCACCGGCUAACUCUGUGCCAGCAGCCGCGGUAAUACAGAGGGUGCGAGCGAUAAUCGGAAUUACUGGGCGUAAAGCGAGCGUAGGUGGCUUAAUAAGUCAGAUGUGAAAUCCCCGGGCUUAACCUGGGAACUGCAUCUGAAACUGUUCGGCUAGAGUAGGUGAGAGGGAAGUAGAAUUCCAGGUGUAGCGGUGAAAUGCGUAGAGAUCUGGAGGAAUACCGAUGGCGAAGGCAGCUUCCUGGCAUCAUACUGACACUGAGGUUCGAAAGCGUGGGUAGCAAACAGGAUUAGAUACCCUGGUAGUCCACGCCGUAAACGAUGUCUACUAGCUGUAUGUCUACUUCAGGUAGAUGUGUGGCUAAGCGAAAGUGAUAAGUAUCCCACCUGGGGAGUACGAUCGCAAGAUUGAAACUCAAAUGAAUUGACGG